GACUGCUUGUGAGGGUUGGAGGUCACGAAGGAAAGACCUGGCUCGCGCCUGCACACAGUAGGUGCUCACAUCAAUGACAUCAUUCCCACUCCUGACGUCCUCAUGUCAAGGUCUGGGAAGAUACCUGGAGGUUUUGAUUGGGGUCUCGGUGGCCUUCGUCCUGCUGCUCUUCCUCCUCCUCUUCCUCCUCCUCCUCCGUCAGCGUCACAGCAAACACAGGACAUCUGACCAGAGAAAGACUGAUUUCCAGCGUCCUGCAGGGGCUGCGGAGACAGAGCCCAAGGACAGGGGCCUGCUGAGGAGGUCCAGCCCAGCUGCUGACGUCCAGGAAGAAAACCUCUGUAAGAGGAAGAGAGGGGACAAAUGGGGGUGCUGGAGAGACAGGAGUCCC
rnacentral:lncRNA from 1 species